CUUUAAACUCUACCUUUUGGCUAAGUUCAAGUGUAGUAUCUGUUAUUAUCAGUUUAAUAUCUGAUAUGUUCCCUAUUUGGGAACUAUAUAUUAAUAAAAUAUGGAUUUUUUAUAUCGGGGGACGAUUUUGAAGCUUGAUUCCAUCUCGCCCUUUGCAUUGACCCGAUAUGGCUGUAUCUUCGGGUACAGUGCAAAAAAC